rnacentral:rRNA from 1 species
GAUGAACGCUAGCUACAGGCUUAACACAUGCAAGUCGAGGGACCGGCGCAAGGGUGAGUCACGCGUAUCCAAACUACCCAAUACUCAGGCAUAACCCGUUGAAAGACGGACUAAUUCCUGAUGGUAUUGGGUGGGGCUUCGUCUGAUUAGUUUGUUGGUUAGGUAAUGUCUCACCAAGACAUCGCUCAGUAGGGGUUCUGAGAGGAAGUUUCCCUACAUUGUAACUGAUACACUGUCCAAACUCCUACGUGAGGCAGCAGUGAGUAAUAGUGGUCAAUGGAUGAAAAUCUGAACCAGCCAAGUAGCGAUCAGGAUGACGGCCUAUGGGUUGUAAACUGCUUUUAUGUGAUAAUAUGUAUCACAUGAAUAAGGACCGGCUAACUCCGUGCCAGCAGCCGCGGUAAUAC